rnacentral:sRNA from 1 species
GCUGAGUAUGGUGGUGCACACCUGUUAUCCCAGCAAUUUAGGAGGCUGAGGCAAGAGGAUUGCAAGUUUGAGGCCAGUCUCAGCAACUUAGGGAGGCCCUAAGCAACUUUGCAAGACCCUGUUUCAA